CGAGCUCAGAUCCGUAGCAGUCCCCGUGUUUCUCCGGCGGCGAGCCUCAUCCCAGCAGGCAGUGAGUCGACGGCGGUGGGACCAGUUGGGUGACGGUGACUCCACCACCCACUUCCGGGUGGGCUCUCCCAAGCUGCGGCAGUAGAUAAAUAUGAACUCCUAUGAAAGAUAAGCAGCGUUCAGGCUAGUGAGGGGACCCCACAGGAACAUCUGCAGCACAGCCUGUUCCCCUUCGGCCCGUCUGCACAUUGCCACUACCUGAAGAUUCCAGCAGAGAGCAACAGCCGCAUGUUCCUGCAGAGGAACAGAGCCGCGUCACUGCUGAGGCUGAGGAUGCGGAGACCGCGUGUCCCGCCAGCAGGUGGCAGUGUAAGACUGCGCACGGCUGAUGAAGAGCAGAUGGAUGAAGGAGAGCGUUACUCUGCAACAAAGAGCGUUUCAAGGAGGAACCAGGAAACUGGCUGCUGCUCUCCAAUGCAUCGCCCAUAGAGGAGGGACGGAGCGAGCCAUGCAGAGUUCAGUAGCUGUGUCUAAUCCUGAACCGGAUGAAGUCACAGAAUCCAAACUACAGAACAGUAUUCUCCCCUGACAGUGUGACGGGCACAGGAACAGAUGGAUGAGGUUUACUUCUGCUCCUUCAUUGGUAUUAAACUGGAUUUCCUAGUCUCCUUCAGUUGUCUUUAGUAGAAGAUCUGCUUGGAAAAACAGGGCAGAUCAGUGCACUGGUUUAUGACGCACGCGAGUCAGAAUGUGCGGUACCAAAGUGUGGAGUCGAGCGCUGGAUCGGUUCUGGCCACUUCGCACGGGCCUGGCGCUUCGAGGAGCGGAAAACAAACAGGGGGAGGCUGCCAGGGAGGUUGCUAGAAAGAGAAACUGGCAGGCAGCGAGCGGAAGCAGAUAAACAGCAGACAGCUGCAGAGCUGCCUUUCAAAUCAACAGUUCACCAAAGGCCCCGACCAUCUGUCUCGUACGAGCUGUGGCCCACGUGCGGUACGUUCUCCUCCGCUUCCCGUCUCUGUGUCUGAUUCACACACUCAGUGGACACGCAGCUGAUUCAUCCUAAUCGGAAACAAAUAACGCAACACAGUUUUUCGUCUGACCUCGUGGAUCGGUCAAAGUUUAUUGAGAGUGUGGACUAACAGUCAUCUGGAUGAAUGACAGAUGAAAACAUGGCUGACUGCAACAUGUUCCACGCAUCAAAGGAACAUGACAACAGAUGACUUAUAAACCAGAGUCAUCAUUCAAAGAAUGCAUUACACUGCAACUAAGCAGCCUAAUUUUUAGACGUCAUUAAAUCUGUUAUUGUUUA